GACGAACGCUGGCGGCGUGCUUAACACAUGCAAGUCGAACGGAAAGGCCCUGCUUUUGUGGGGUGCUCGAGUGGCGAACGGGUGAGUAACACGUGAGUAACAUGCACUUGACUUUGGGAUAACUUCAGGAAACUGGGGCUAAUACCGGAUAGGAGCUCCUGCUGCAUGGUGGGGGUUGGAAAGUUUCGGCGGUUGGGGAUGGACUCGAGGCUUAUCAGCUUGUUGGUGGGGUAGUGGCUUACCAAGGCUUUGACGGGUAGCCGACCUGAGAGGUUGACCGGCCUCAUUGGGACUGCGAUAGGGCCCAGACGCCUACGGGAGGCAGCAGUGGGGAAUAUUGCACAAUGGGCGGAAGCCUGAUGCGGAGACGCCGCGUGCGUGAUGACGGCCUUCGGGUUAUAAACCGCUUUCGCCUGUGACGAAGCGGGAGUGACGGUAAUGGGUAAAGAAGCACCGGCUAACUACGUG
rnacentral:rRNA from 1 species